UUGCGUCAUCUUAGCCCUCCGCGGCCUCACUAAUCAUCACGUGAUAUGUACCGGGCACGUCACAGGCUAGUAUCGCGAUAUUUCACAUUGUUUAAGUAAGAGCGAGAGGGGCGGUGCGUUCCUUUCCGUACUUGGCGGCGGUGAGUGAGCGUGUAUGUUCCUUUUCCUUGAGUGCAACGCAGGCCUAGUUGGUAGCGAUAAAUCAUCGUAAUUGCGAAGGUUAUUAUAGCCUUGCGGUGUAUGGGGGCAUGUGGGGCUGCUUUCUCAUCGUGUGCCUUCUCCAUCCAAACGUGUAGGCCCGAUUUAGAUAAGUGCGGAGGGGGCCUUUACCCUGGGCCUAGACCCUCGCAGGGCGCUUGUUAGGGAAAAAUAACUAUCGCAGUAAAAUAUAGCUGUUUGUUUACACAUAAACUCAACUGUAGCGGUAUAGGGGUGGGGCAGUGUUUUAUACAUGCGGCCAUGUCUUUUUCCCCUCUGUAUAACACAAGCAGUUGCUUCCAUGUGGUGUCUUAGCGUCUGCUCCCCAGGGCAGGGGCUUUCUAGCCCUUUACAGCCCUUUGAGGCCUAAUGUUUGGCCGGGGCCCGUUACACAUGAUUACUUACCCAGCCUGCCUUAAUGAUCACUGCAUCAAAUAACUUCCUCCCCCAACGUCCUAGUCUUUAACUCUCAGAAAUCGGCUAUGGUACUGUAUAGGCCAGCUAACUGUCAUUUUCACCCUAAUAUGCCCUAAUCCUUCUAUCCAGAUGUGUGUGAUUAUCAGUCAGACAACACAAGAGGCUGAUGCAGAUUUUCCUUGCCCUCAUUUUUUAAAAAAAACUCAAGAUUUCCUGUGGUGUUUAAUGACAUAGCCCUAACUGUGUAUGAUCUUUCUUGCAAUGCCUGCUAUUGCUGUUUAUUAAGCAUGGAUGCAUGCUGGCUGUGUGUUUGUGUCGCUGAUCCCGGCAGCCCCUUCAUUGCCCAUUCGACGCUUUCUCCUGAUGCAUCGCAGUGGCUAACACAGGGGGGUAGAUCAUGGCCUCACUAAAACACAGGGAUUGAGGGCAAACACUUCCCCCUGUAUCCUGUCGUGAGGUACACACUGUCCAAUCUGCCUGGGGAUGGUAUGGCUGUGAGCUGGGUGUAUCUUUCUGAAAGGUAUAAUUCUGCUGGGCCUUUUUUGCUUAUAUUAAUGCUAGUUCUUAGCCAGUUGUCUGUUUACUUCUGGAAAAGUAUUUGGAAAGGAGCAUUGUCGGCUCCUUUCCUACUAAGGGGAUGUGGUUGCAGUUAAGGCUUUUAUUACCCUUAAGAUCUCCCCAGAAUAGGCUGUUAUUGUCAGUGUGCCAUAUACCUUAACCCAUUCUCUCAACCCUUGGCCUGCCCCAGGACCAUAUGUUCCAUUUCUCAUCUACCUCCUACUAAAUCUUUAAAUUUCCCUUCUAAAUAAAAAAAGGAUGCUAAUGUGAUGUCUAUCUUCUCCACAGGCUGCUUUAAGAUGCCGACAGAUUCUUGGAGCCUUGCUGCCAUCAAACAUAGGUUGUGUGGAGUGUGGAACCUUUGUUUGCUGUCUGAAAUUAAAGCAGCUGAAGAAGCAGUUGUCAGGAGUGAUUGGGUAAAAGUCCUCUUUUGAUAUAGCAAUCCAUAUUGGUGUGUAGCAGUAUGGGGACAAUAUCCACCUUCAAUAAAACCUACUUGUAUGUUAUGUGGUUUCUCUUGUAUUGCAGGGAGAUUGUGUUCUAUGGCCCCAUUUUGGCAGGGACUUAGAGAAAUGAAUAAUCCUACGUUUCCUAACGUAGAGAAAAGGUUAGGCUGAGGAAGCAAAUGCUUAACAAGCUAAAAGAAAAAGAUCAAACAUAUUUGUGAAAGAAUUAAGUAGCCGCUACAGUUUAAUGUGUUACAGCAUCUUUCCCUUCUGGUGUUUCUCCAGCGAUAAGUUAAUUUCCUUUAAUAUCAAACAAAAUGGUGGAUUUUCACCUUAAAGUUGGUGCAGUGUAGACAAAAAUAUAGCACUUAGGCCAAAGAAAUAUAUAGUGGCUACUAGCAGUAUAACUGCAAAUUAUCAUAUAUUAAUGUGUAAUGUAGGUUAUAGGUAAUUAGAAUGACUGCAAAUACUAGUUUUUAAGAGGAAAAAUCCUAAUGUUUACAUGGCUUUUUAUGUUAGGCAGGGGCUAUUUUAAAUUCUGCUUUAAACCUUCACUGUAUGCCAUGCCCAUGCCCUAAAUGUAAUUCUUUUGCUCUAUUUCUGCAAUGAUUAAGGGAUUGUAUACAUGUCAAUAAAGCAUUGUAACAAA